UUUUUCUUGUUUUCAUCUGCUAAUUUAAAACAAUGGCUUUGCUAACCCGAAACAAAGACACUGUUUUACUUUAGUUUUUAAAAAUGAUUGCUAUAAUUUAGCCAACCGAGACGUCAAAGUCUUCGUCUUCUUGGCGACCCAGUAAUCCCAUUUCUGCGUUCACGAAAAAGUCUGAAAGUAGUGUUUGCUUCCAUUUUUUGUUUUGUUUUAAGUUGGAUUUUUUUCACAACAAAAUUCCCUUCAGGCCCCUUUUUUGAGAGAGCUCACUUCCUGGGCUCUUGGCAUUGUGGAGUCACAGCGACGAUAACAGGCUGCUGGGUGGCAACGGCGGCGGACCCCUCGCCGUCGUCCAUCUUGGACCGCUUGACCUGAGGUUCGUUGCCCCCGCUGGGUUGCUCGGCGGAAAGCGGACGACACACCAGAACCGGAGGAGAGCUGGAGGCCUGAGCUGCCAAAAUCUGGAGAGGACUGCUUAGACCUGGAGGAGACGAAGGAAGGCGAGGCAGCUGGGGGACGGACGGAAACACGUACCUGAAGCAAAAGCAGCGAGGCUGGUUGCCGUGGCAAAUGCGGCGUUGGUGUGCUUCCCGUUGUGGGUAACGGGAUGCACGGGAAGUUGAUGCAGCCCCAGCGCCAUGUUCCGUGUGUCCAGGUUGCGCGAGUCCGCCCCCUGUGCGCCGCCGUCCACCGUCUGGAUCACCAGCUCUCGCUUCAGCUGCGCCUCUGACCGCCGCAAAAAUGCCACAUCGAAGAUCAUCAAGAAGAAGACGACGUGCAUUUGUUACAGUUUGAUCAACUAUACAGCGCUUCCUUGACUAACAACUAGGGUUGCAACUAACAGUUAUUUUGAUAAUCCAUUAAUCGGUCGAUUGAUUUGUCGAUUAAUCAAUGACUCGGAUAAAAAAAACAAAAAAAAAACAUUUUCUAAAUGUCCUACCCUUUAUUCAAACCCAGGACAUUUUUUUUUUAAAUUGACCGCGCAGAAAAUGAACAUACGUCGAUUGAUUAUGUUAUGUUUACUGGUAUGGUCCGUAACAUCUGUCAGAAAACAGACAAAAAUGUUGACUACAGAAGUCUGACAAUAUUUACUGUUGAGAAGCUGAAAUGUUGAGCUCGAUAGAUAGAAGUAGGGCUGCACGAUUAUGGCCAAAAUAAUAAUCACAAUUAUUUGUAUUAAUAUUGUAAUCAUGAUUAUUAAUCACGAUUAUGCCUCGUUAGGGAAAAAUCUUUAUUUUGAUUGCACUACUUUUCAACAAUCGAUAUGAGAUUUCAGUGCAAAAUGAUUCUUUAAAUAAGAAUAAAAGAUAGAUGAUAAAAAAAUAAAUGUAUCCACAAAGGAUUCUACUUUAGCAACGGCUAACUCAAUAAAUAUGCUUUUACAAAGUGCAAUCACGAAUUGCAACUUAAUGGAAGACAUUGGACAUUAGGCUGUAAGCAAUGACUUUUCAUGCGAGAAUCACCGUCAAUAUUGUGAUUUGUCGAGGACGGGUACGUCUCCGUUGUUCUGCUUGACCGUUGGUCAGUCGUGCACGGCCGCAAACUGCAAAGAACUCGACAGUUGUGAUUUCCCUCUCUAUUACCCUGAGGUCAGGCGAGCCGAAACGUUCAAGUCAAGGCAGCCGCUAGCUACAACGAUUGUUAAUCGUGUCUUACCGUGACACGCCGCCUCUCCGCCACCGUGCUGAGAGAGCCAACUUCAAAAUAAAACUUCAUAUAUUGUGACGUUGGACAUCAAUGCCAUUUUAAGCUUUUAUUUUGAAGUUGGCCACGAAGCUCUGUGCGGCCCUGAAUAAAGCCUUAACCAUACGUUCGCCCCCUUGGUGGCUGGCUGACUGCAUUGCGGGCACUGCCGCAAAUGAACCACUUCUCACAUGCAGCAGUGCCCGCAUUUUAAAAUGUAAAAAAAUCGCAGACGAUUAGGCUCAUUUAAUCGUGGCAGCCAAAACCGCAAUCCCGAUUAAAAUUUGAUUAUUUGUGCAGCCCUCCAUAGAAUAAAGUCAGAUUUUGUUGGAGGUAAAACUCGCAGUUGCAUAAAGUUGUAUUUGUCUGAUAAAAAGCCAUAAAAUAUAUGUUAUGUUAUAUAAAGUUGGAUUAUUUCCAGACAGAAAAAAUAAAAA